CGCAGCUUGGGUAGCUUCAUGCUGAGAGGAAGCGAAGGGAUGAGAGAAGGACACUUGUUUGCUGGUCCAAAGAACUUUUAUUCCCCCAUGCGUGGUGGGAUGCUCUCUGGACUGAAUGCAGUGCAAAUGCCACCAGACAAAGAACUUGCAACAGAUUAAGUAGGGGGUGGGCGGACAGGGGUGGAAACCUGCCUCGCCCUAUAGGGACAAACAACAGGGGCGUGACAUGGAUUAUAACAACCUAUAGGAACAUAACAGAGCUUGUGCCCAUUGCCUCUGAUCAUGUCACUUGGGACCACUGGACACAUCUUCUCUGCAUCCUUCAUUCAGUAUGUGCAUGUUUGUGCUGAGGAACCCAGAAGAGCUGGGCACACACAACACUCCAGGCGUGAACUCACCAGUGUUGCAUAAAAAAAAGAAGGAACACACAACUCCAACAGCAGGGGCCUUCUCUUCUCAAGGCACUGACAAAGAGGUCUGGGCAUUUCAAGUUCUUUAAUCAGCAGUCACUGAUUGGAGUCAAGUUUACUUAGCUUUGUGGUCUCAGCUUUGAAUAGUCCCUUGGAGAAUG